rnacentral:tRNA from 2 species
CGGGGUGUGGCGCAGCCUGGUAGCGCGCCUGCUUUGGGAGCAGGAAGUCGGGGGUUCGAAUCCCUCCACCCCGACCA